UACGUAGGGGGCUAGCGUUGUCCGGAAUCAUUGGGCGUAAAGAGCGUGUAGGCGGUCCGGUAAGUCCGUUGUGAAAGUCAGGGGCUCAACCCUUGAAUGCCGGCGGAUACUGUCGGGCUAGAGUCCGGAAGAGGCAAGUGGAAUUCCUGGUGUAGCGGUGAAAUGCGCAGAUAUCAGGAGGAACACCUAUGGCGAAGGCAGCUCGCUGGGACGGUACUGACGCUGGAGGCGCGAAAAGCGUGGGGGAGCAAACAGG
rnacentral:rRNA from 1 species